rnacentral:rRNA from 1 species
CGGAUGGGUGAGUAACACGUGGGUAACCUGCCCUGCACAGGGGGAUAACAGCUGGAAACGGCUGUUAAUACCGCAUAUGCACACGCUGCCGCAUGGCAGAGGGUGGAAAGAUUUAUCGGUGCAGGAUGGGCCCGCGUCGGAUUAACAGUUGGCAGGGUAACGGCCUACCAAGGUUAUGAUCCGUAGCCGACCUGAGAGGGUGACCGGCCACAUUGGGACUGAGACAGGCCCAAACUCCUACGGGAGGCAGCAGUGGGGGAUAUUGCACAAUGGGCGGAAGCCUGAAUGCAGCGACGCCGCGUGAAGGAAGAAGUAUUUCGGUAUGUAAACUUCUAUCAGCGGGGAAGAAGAUGGCGGUACCCGACUAAGAAGCCCCGGCUAACUACGUGCCAGCAGCCGC